CUCUUGAAUGAGCAAAUCUCAGCCCUUUAUUAGAGAAAGACCAAAUCUAAGCCCUUCAUUUAUGAUUUAAUUUUCUGAAAAUAAAAAAGAAAUUCACCCUAAAUUCAUAAGAGGAAAUAUCAACCCUUCAAUCUUUUCAUCCAACGGAUAAAAACACCCUAAAAAUCCCUAACAUUGGACAAUCUCAGUUUGGAGCCGCCACAAAAGUUAAACCCUGAUCAAAUAUCAGUUUCUCUUUCAUGAAUUCCCUUCUUUAGUUGCCCUCCUAUGCCAAAACAAGUUUCAAUAAAUACAAAGCAUCCAAAAAAACCAGCAAAGAAAAUGCAUGGCAUCCAAACAAGGAUUAUAUUCCGUGAAAGGGAAGCAUUGGACAAUCUAAAUACAAAGCAUCCAAACAAGGAUUAGAAGUGUUCAUCCGAUCUCUUUAUCAUUCUUCCCAAAAUGAAAUCUCUCAGAUGGUCUUAAUCUUUUCCCCAUUAUGAUAGAUGAAUCUAGAGAACGGUUUAUAUGCAAAGAUGAAUCCAAAGUAGAUAUCCGAUUAUAUAAAUUCAAGCAAGGGCCUCAUAAACAAAGUGUAGCAGAUGAAGUUUGGCAACUUUGAAGAUGGUGAUGAAAAAAAGACCAAUUAAUUUAUUUUGUGUUAGUUUGAGAUCUAUUCUAAGAAUUUUUUUACUGAUUUUAUUUUUUACUUUUAGAUCUAGUGUAUUUUUUUUAUAACGAGCGAAUGUAAUAAUUAGUAAGGAAUUUUAAUUACCAAGAUCUACCCAUGCUCUUUUGCAAAGUUCGAAUAUUAGGUUGUUUGUUUGAUUUGAGAUCUGUUAAUCUAUGCUUCAGUUCAUCUUA